GCCAAAUGUAAACACUGACAUGCAUGACUCUCGCCAGUACAGUAGUGAUACUCUGCACGUACUCGGGUCGGCUGAAAGGGAGCCAGUACAUUUUAACAUAAUUAUCUGUCUCUUGAUGAGUCAUGACAGUGACAGUCAAAGCAGAACAUGUGUAUCAGGAGCCAGUGGAGGUUGUAGCAGUUACUCAUCUUAGCAAAUAUCCAAAUGAGUAUGACCCAAAUAUCCUUUCCUGUGCUGUCUUAGAGAGAAAAAUAGACGGAGAUGGACAGACAUACACAAAGAGAGUAGCUGCUGUUCGAAAUGUUUUGCCUUCAAUCUUUAGAAGGGUAAAAAGUUUGCAAGUAGAUCAUUUUGAAUUGCAAGAGGAAAGUUGGUACGACAGAAGACUCAGGAAAUUAAGUGUUCGAUCUCAUAACAUUUCUGUUUCUGAUUGGAUCACCAUGAGAGAAGCUUCUGUUUAUACACCUCAUCAACAGAACCCAAAUUGGACAAACUUUGAGCAGGAAGGAACCAUCACUGUUCAUGGAUUAGGAAGACUUGGCUGCCUUAUUGAGAUGUUUGGCAAGAGAUUUUUAAGUGUUGGAGCUCAGCGUAGCAUUACCAUUACUGAAAAACUCAUGGCUGAAAGAUCUAAAAGAAUUACAUCGUUUUGGUAUUCGGAAUUCCUCUUUGCAUAACAGAGACAGAGUGAACUGAAAUUUUUUUUGGUGAAAUGACUCCAUCAAGCAUGGGUUUCCUGAAAGGUGAUUUCUCCUCCAUCCCCACUUCCUUCUCUUCUCCCUUCUCCUCCACCCCCACUUCUAAUUCCCAUCAUCAUCAUCAACCAGGAACCUUCUACAUACAUACCUCAAAAUGUGUUAUGGUUUUCUACAUUCGUGACAGUAUUGACUCCAGAAACACAAUCUCCUGAAGACAUUUAUGAUCCACAGUGCCUUGUCCAUAUUUUAGCAACUAAGCCCAAUCUAGACAUUUGAGUUAGGUUAUUACUUGAAUUAGUUAGGUUAUUACUUGAAUUUGCUAACUAUAACAUAAGGUAUUAAAGGUAUAUAUAUUAUAAAAAUUUAGAAGAUGUUACUUGAUCAUCUGUCAUAAUUCUUUUGGGGUUAUAUGAUUCCAUACUCUUAUGAGAUCUUCACUUGGUAAAGCCACCUAGAAUUAACCUGUUCCUUACAGUACAGUCAGUUCUGCUACAACGCGAUAGUUGUGUUUUUGUAAAACCUCGCGUUGUAGAAAUUUGCGCAAUAGAAAUAACACGGCUUAUGGAGAAAAUAGGGCUAGGUGCAGAUUACU